AUCGAUCCAAAUGCUGCAUUGAUUGUCACUAACACGAAAGAUUAUUCUUUGCUCUUCCACUGGUGUUUGAGGCAACGGUGUAUAAACUGCAACAAUAAUGUGAUUUACAUCACUCCUUUGGUCGCUAGUUGUGAUCUUUUGAGGAAUACUAAUUUGUCAAGAAUCCGUCUGAUCUCAGAGGCCAACCUAAUUUUUAUAAGCCAGGCGAUCGCGAAAGAUUAUUAAAAGCCAUGGCCUGCUCAUUUUCAAGCCACAAUCGCGAAGCUUGAGAAAGUUAUCUGAAUUGCUCGGUCAUGGCAAAUAAAUCUCUGACCAAUGCCUUAGUACGUGUUCUUGGAGCUUGUAUGUGUCAUAUCGGUAGAAUAAUCCUGCCUUGAGUUAUUCCAUGCCAUCCUUCGACCUAACCGCUCCCUGGACUUCCAAUACCAUUGAUAGUGCUAAGAUUUGUAUUGAUCAUCCGUCUCUAUUUGCAUGCUUUUGAAGUGAAUUUUAGCUAGUUUAUGCUUCAAUUCUAUGUGAUUUUGUGCCUUGGCAUUAUAUACCUAGACCCGUUCACUUGGACCUCCCGGAUUCAAGUAUAGUUGAGCCUCUGCCUCCUCCCCCAUGUUAAAUACACGUAACCCUUACGCCCCAUCACUGCAUUUCCCAACAUCCUGAAACUCUUGAACCAAGGUGCCUUAGACUUGCCCUGUCAAUCAACAGGUAUGCGAUCUGACGUGGUCAUGCCAAGAAGC
rnacentral:lncRNA from 1 species